UACAGAGGGGGCAAGCGUUGUUCGGAAUUACUGGGCGUAAAGGGCGCGUAGGCGGCCUUCUAAGUCGAACGUGAAAUCCCCGGGCUCAACCCGGGAACUGCGUCCGAUACUGGAAGGCUUGAAUCCGGGAGAGGGAUGCGGAAUUCCAGGUGUAGCGGUGAAAUGCGUAGAUAUCUGGAGGAACACCGGUGGCGAAGGCGGCAUCCUGGACCGGUAUUGACGCUGAGG
rnacentral:rRNA from 1 species